CCAAUAGCGUAUAUUAAAGUUGCUGCAGUUAAAAAGCUCGUAGUUGAAUUUCGGGAUCAAUAUGUUGGUCGUGCCUCGGUACGUACUGGCUUAUUGGUUUCUCCCUUCUGACGAACCAUGAUGUCAUUUAUUUGGUGUUAUGAGGAAUCAGGACUGUUACUUUGAAAAAAUUAGAGUGUUUAAAGCAGGCUCACGCUUGAAUACAUUAGCAUGGAAUAAUGAAAUAGGACGUUUGAUUCUAUUUUGUUGGUUUCUAGGAUCGACGUAAUGAUUAAUAGGGAUAGUUGGGGGCAUUAGUAUUCAAUUUGCAGAGGUGAAAUUCUUGGAUUUAUUGAAGACUAACUACUGCGAAAGCAUUUGCCAAGGAUGUUUUCAUUAAUCAAGAACGAAAGUUAGGGGAUCGAAGACGAUCAGAUACCGUCGUAGUCUUAACCAUAAACUAUGCCGACUAGGGAUCGGAUGAUGUUAAUUUUUUAAUGACUCAUUCGGCGCCUUACG
rnacentral:rRNA from 1 species